rnacentral:lncRNA from 1 species
GGUCCCCGCGCCAACGGCGGAGAAGGCGGGCGCGGAGGCGGGGCGGGCGGAGGCCGGCGAGGGCGCCGCGGGGGCGCCGCGGGGCGAGGGGGAGGGCGCAGCCGCCACGGCCGCCCUGAGCCCCGCGGGAGGCGCCCAUCCGGACAAGGGGCGCGCGGGCGAGCGGGGGCCGGACGCCCACGGGGACCCGGGGGCCGAGGCGCGGGGCGCGGGCGCAGCACCGGGCGAGGCGGACGCCGCGGAGGGCGCCCCGGGGUGCGCCGAGGUCCCCCGGGGAGAGGAGGGCGAGGCCUCGGGGGAGCUGCGGGGGAGCCCCGAGGAGCCCGAGGAGCCCGAGGCGCCCGACGCGAAGGAGACAGCGGAGCAAGGGCCGGAGGGAGCGGGCGGCGGCAGUCCGGGGGGCGCAGGGGGCGCAGGCGGCGAGCAUGGCAGCCGCGGAGCAGGCGGGAGGGGCGCACGGGCCCCAGGGGGAGCCCGGGGACGGGGGGGACCCCGGCCCCCAGCCCACUGAGGGGGCCCCCGGGGGGCUUGCAGGGGAGCCUCGGGGUGCGGCGGGGACCGAGGAAGCGGGGGACGCGAGGGCGGCAGCCGUGGAGGACCUGGGGGGACCCCAGGAGGGGACGGAGGAGCAGGAGAGGCGAGAGCGCGGCCCGGGGGCGCCGGCGGGGGCGAGGAGGAGCCCCCCGACGGCAGCGCGCAGGCGGAGGAGCCGGGGGAGCCGGGGGAGCCGGGGGAUCCGGGGGAGCAGGAGGAGCCGGAGGAGCCGGGGGAGCCGGAGGAGCCGGAGGCCGGAGCCGAGCUCGGCAACCACCUGGCGGAGGAGGGCAGCGUGCAGGGCGCGGACGAGGCGGCGCGGGUGAACGGCGGCGGGGAGGACGGCGAGGCGUCGGAGGAGGGCGCCCCGCGGCAGGAGCACGACAUCACCCUCUUCGUGAAGGUACCCGGAGCUCCGCGGCCCCUCGCGCCCCCCGAGUCGGGGCUUCCCGGGGCGCUGGUCGUGGCUCUGUUCGCGGGAGGGAGGGAGGCGGCCCGGCCUGGGUCACCGGGAGCUUGCGGAGCGCUUGGGGAGACGCGGGGGUUUGGAAACAAAGAGGUUGGGCGGGGGUUGGGGGGGGGGAGUCGGGGUGCGGGCCCAGCAUCGCACUGUCCUUUGUUCUGAAAAUCCUAACUGGCCCUUCUAGUCUGGAGAUUAUUGGAGAAUAA